GACGAACGCUGGCGGCGUGCCUAAUACAUGCAAGUUGAGCGCUGAAGGUUGGUACUUGUACCAACUGGAUGAGCAGCGAACGGGUGAGUAACGCGUGGGGAAUCUGCCUUUGAGCGGGGGACAACAUUUGGAAACGAAUGCUAAUACCGCAUAAAAACUUUAAACACAAGUUUUAAGUUUGAAAGAUGCAAUUGCAUCACUCAAAGAUGAUCCCGCGUUGUAUUAGCUAGUUGGUGAGGUAAAGGCUCACCAAGGCGAUGAUACAUAGCCGACCUGAGAGGGUGACCGGCCCAUUUGGGAAUGAGAACGGGCCCAAACCCCCACGGGGGGCAGCAGUAGGGAAUCUUCGGAAAUGGACGAAAGUCUGACCGGGCAACGCCGCGGGAGUGAAGAGGGUUUUCGGAUCGUAAAACUCUGUUGGUAGGGAAGAACGUUGGGGGGAGGGGAAAGCCCAUAAAGGGACGGAAACUACCCAAAAAGGGAGGGCUAACUACGU
rnacentral:rRNA from 1 species